GGUUCCGUAGCUCAGGAGGUAGAGAGUAGUGUUGAUCGCGCUAAGGUCUUGGGUUCGAGCCCCAGCGGAGCCA